UUAAAGUCUAACCUGCCCACUGAAUUUUUAAAUGGCCGCAGUAUCCUAACUGUGCAAAGGUAGCAUAAUCAUUAGUCUUUUAAUUGAAGGCUGGAAUGAAUGGUUGGACGAGAUAUUAACUGUUUCAUUUAAAAUUUUAUUAGAAUUUUAUUUUUUAGUCAAAAAGCUAAAAUUUAUUUAAAAGACGAGAAGACCCUAUAAAUCUUUAUAUUUUAUUUAUUUUAAUUAUAAAGAUUAUUUUUAUUAUAAUAAAUUAAAAUAUUUUAUUGGGGUGAUAAUAAAAUUUAAAAAACUUUUAUUUUUUAAACCAUUAAUUUAUGAAUAAUUGAUCCAUUAAUAAUGAUUAAAAAUUUAAGUUACUUUAGGGAUAACAGCGUAAUUUUUUUGGAGAGUUCUUAUCGAUAAAAAAGAUUGCGACCUCGAUGUUGGAUUAAGAUAUAAUUUUGGGUGUAGCCGUUCAAAUUUUAAGUCUGUUCGACUUUUAAAUUCUUACAUGAUCUGAGUUCAAACCGGCGUAAGCCAGGUUGGUUUCUAUCUUUAAAAAAUUAUAAUAUUUUAGUACGAAAGGACCAAAUAUUAGAAUAAUAAAUUUUUAAAAAGAAUAUUAUUAAUAAUA
rnacentral:rRNA from 1 species